rnacentral:rRNA from 1 species
UACGGGGGGAGCAAGCGUUGUUCGGAUUUACUGGGCGUAAAGGGCGCGUAGGCGGCUACUUAAGUCGGAUGUGAAAGCCCCUGGCUCAACUGGGGAAGUGCACCCGAAACUGAGUGGCUUGAGUACAAAAGAGGGUCGCGGAAUUCCCGGUGUAGAGGUGAAAUUCGUAGAUAUCGGGAGGAACACCGGUGGCGAAGGACGGCGACCUGGGUUGAUACUGACGCUGAGGCGCGAAAGCGUGGGGAGCAAACAGG